AACCAUGGCUGGAGCGCUGGUGUGCAAAGCGGCAGAGUAUGUCCGGAGCAAGGACUUCCAGGACUAUCUCAUGAGUACGCACUUCUGGGGCCCAGAUGCCAACUGGGGUCUCCCCAUUGGUGCUUUCAAUGACAUGAAGAAAUCUCCAGAGAUUAUCAGUGGGAAGAUGACUUUCGCCCUCUGUUGCUAUUCUCUGACAUUCAUGAGAUUUGCCUACAAGGUACAACCUCGAAACUGGCUUCUGUUUGCAUGCCAUAUAACAAAUGAAGUAGCUCAGCUCAUUCAGGGAGGACAACUUAUCAACUAUGAGUUGAGUAAGCAGCCAUCUGCAUAUCAGUGCAAGAACCAGCUCUUGAAAGGGACAGUGUUCCAGCCACUGCUGCAGCCACAGACCAUGUCAGCAUGAAUAGUCAUGCUGAGGGGAAAACACAGAAUGCUAUCUUUAAUGACCAUGCCAACAUUAUUGAAUAGCCGAGAGUCUCUAAACCAACUCUCUGCUGCCUUAUCAAUGCUAAACUUUAUUUGUCUUCAUCAAGAGUAGUUCAAAAUAUGCAACUAAUUUAAUAAUUUUGAAUGAUGGCUUUAUCUAUAGCAAUCUGUAGUAAUGUAUUAUCUAUUGGGAUUUGUGUAAUAAAAAAUCUAAGGGAACAAAAUUUUAUAACUACAAGCACUUAAGUACUCAAGAUUCUUGACUUUUUCUUUAAUGACAAUAGUAGAACCCUCAGUUGGUAACAUGUCUACACAUAAUUUCCAGUGAGAACAAAUGUCGGUGUUUUCCAUAACGUAAUUCAGAUCUGUAACUUAAUGGCAAUAAAUGGUUUAAAUAU